rnacentral:rRNA from 1 species
UACGUAGGGGGCAAGCGUUGUCCGGAAUCAUUGGGCGUAAAGCGCGUGUAGGCGGCUCGAUAAGUCCGCUGUGAAAGUCCGGGGCUCAACCCCGGGAUGCCGGUGGAUACUGUCGAGCUAGAGUCCGGAAGAGGCGAGUGGAAUUCCUGGUGUAGCGGUGAAAUGCGCAGAUAUCAGGAGGAACACCAAUUGCGAAGGCAGCUCGCUGGGACGUUACUGACGCUGAGACGCGAAAGCGUGGGGAGCAAACAGG